rnacentral:tRNA from 1 species
UAUUAAAUAUCUUAAAAUUUAAAGAGUUGAAUUUUUAAUUCAAAUAUAAUAUUAUAUAUUUUUAAUGU